CAAAAUGCGAUACUUGGUGUGAAUUGCAGAAUCCCGUGAACCAUCGAGUUUUUGAACGCAAGUUGCGCCCGAAGCCAUUCGGUCGAGGGCACGUCUGCCUGGGCGUCACGC
rnacentral:rRNA from 2 species